CCUACGGGAGGCAGCAGUGGGGAAUUUUCCRCAAUGGGGGAAACCCUGACGCAGCAACGCCGCGUGGAGGAUGAAGUCCUUUGGGWCGUAAACUCCUUUCGWCCSGGACGAUACUGACGGUACCGGUGGAAGAAGCCCCGGCUAACUCYGUGCCAGCAGCCGCGGUAAU
rnacentral:rRNA from 1 species